rnacentral:rRNA from 1 species
GAUGAACGCUGGCGGCGUGCCUAAUACAUGCAAGUCGAGCGAACAGACGAGGAGCUUGCUCCUCUGACGUUAGCGGCGGACGGGUGAGUAACACGUGGAUAACCUACCUAUAAGACUGGGAUAACUUCGGGAAACCGGAGCUAAUACCGGAUAAUAUAUUGAACCGCAUGGUUCAAUAGUGAAAGACGGUUUUGCUGUCACUUAUAGAUGGAUCCGCGCCGCAUUAGCUAGUUGGUAAGGUAACGGCUUACCAAGGCAACGAUGCGUAGCCGACCUGAGAGGGUGAUCGGCCACGCUGGAGCUGAGACACGGUCCAGACUCCUACGGGAGGCAGCAGUAGGGAAUCUUCCGCAAAGGGCGAAAGCCUGACGGAGCAACGCCGCGUGAGUGAUGAAGGUCUUCGGAUCGUAAAACUCUGUUAUUAGGGAAGAACAAAUGUGUAAGUAACUAUGCACGUCUUGACGGUACCUAAUCAGAAAGCCACGGCUAACUACGUG